rnacentral:rRNA from 1 species
UACAGAGGUCUCAAGCGUUGUUCGGAUUCAUUGGGCGUAAAGGGUGCGUAGGCGGCGCGGUAAGUCGGGUGUGAAAUCUUGGAGCUUAACUCCGAAACUGCAUUCGAUACUGCCGUGCUUGAGGACUGGAGAGGAGACUGGAAUUUACGGUGUAAGCGGUGAAAUGCGUAGAUAUCGUAAGGAAGACCAGUGGCGAAGGCGGGU